CAACUGGGCAACUUUUACUCUGCACAGGUUUUGAUAAAUCUCCCCCACUCAAUCCAAAGAUAACAGGACAGAAAACAUGCUUUCAUUUCUCCACAAAGAGGGAUUGAUGGGCUAUUUAUGGAGUUGUGGCUACACCACAACCCACUCAGUAUUAUUCUAAUUGUAUAUACCAGCACUAUAUAGCUGGCUAUCCACUUCAUGGGUGGAAGAAACCUUGGAACAAGAACCAAUGAUUGUAACUACCUCAGUUCAGCAAUAUUUGGAACAACCUCACCCCGUUUCCUCAAUGUGUGUGUUUUUCUGAUCACCAUCUAAUUUUUUCUG